rnacentral:rRNA from 1 species
UAGCUAGUUGGUGAGGUAACGGCCCACCAAGGCGACGAUCGGUAGCCGGACUGAGAGGUUGAACGGCCACAUUGGGACUGAGACACGGCCCAGACUCCUACGGGAGGCAGCAGUGGGGAAUAUUGCACAAUGGGGGAAACCCUGAUGCAGCGACGCCGCGUGGAGGAAGAAGGUCUUCGGAUUGUAAACUCCUGUUGUUGGGGAAGAUAAUGACGGUACCCAACAAGGAAGUGACGGCUAACUACGUGCCAGCAGCCGCGGUAAAACGUAGGUCACAAGCGUUGUCCGGAAUUACUGGGUGUAAAGGGAGCGCAGGCGGGAAGACAAGUUGGAAGUGAAAUCUAUGGGCUCAACCCAUAAACUGCUUUCAAAACUGUUUUUCUUGAGUAGUGCAGAGGUAGGCGGAAUUCCCGGUGUAGCGGUGGAAUGCGUAGAUAUCGGGAGGAACACCAGUGGCGAAGGCGGCCUACUGGGCACCAACUGACGCUGAGGCUCGAAAGUGUGGGUAGCAAACAGGAUUAGAUACCCUGGUAGUCCACACCGUAAGCGAUGAUUACUAGGUGUUGGAGGAUUGACCCCUUCAGUGCCGCAGUUAACACAAUAAGUAAUCCACCUGGGGAGUACGACCGCAAGGUUGAAACUCAAAGGAAUUGACGGGGGCCCGCACAAGCAGUGGAGUAUGUGGUUUAAUUCGACGCAACGCGAAGAACCUUACCAAGUCUUGACAUCCCUUGACAGACAUAGAAAUAUGUAUUCUCUUCGGAGCAAGGAGACAGGUGGUGCAUGGUUGUCGUCAGCUCGUGUCGUGAGAUGUUGGGUUAAGUCCCGCAACGAGCGCAACCCUUAUGGUCAGUUACUACGCAAGAGGACUCUGGCCAGACUGCCGUUGACAAAACGGAGGAAGGUGGGGAUGACGUCAAAUCAUCAUGCCCUUUAUGACUUGGGCUACACACGUACUACAAUGGCGUUAAACAAAGAGAAGCAAGACCGCGAGGUGGAGCAAAACUCAGAAACAACGUCCCAGUUCGGACUGCAGGCUGCAACUCGCCUGCACGAAGUCGGAAUUGCUAGUAAUCGUGGAUCAGCAUGCCACGGUGAAUACGUUCCCGGGCCUUGUACACACCGCCCGUCACACCAUGAGAGCCGGGGGGACCCGAAGUCGGUAGUCUAACCGCAAGGAGGACGCCGCCGAAGGUAAAACUGGUGAUUGGGGUGAAGUCGUAACAAGGUAACCGUACUAGUACGGGAGGCG